UACGUAGGGUGCAAGCGUUGUCCGGAAUUAUUGGGCGUAAAGAGCUUGUAGGCGGUUUGUCGCGUCUGCUGUGAAAUUUCGGGGCUCAACCCCGAACUUGCAGUGGGUACGGGCAGACUAGAGUGUGGUAGGGGGAGACUGGAAUUCCUGGUGUAGCGGUGGAAUGCGCAGAUAUCAGGAGGAACACCGAUGGCGAAGGCAGAUCUCUGGGCCGUAACUGACGCUGAGGAGCGAAAGCGUGGGGAGCGAACAGG
rnacentral:rRNA from 1 species